rnacentral:rRNA from 1 species
UACAGAGGUCCCAAGCGUUGUUCGGAUUCAUUGGGCGUAAAGGGUGCGUAGGCGGCGCGGUAAGUCGGGUGUGAAAUCUCGGGGCUUAACUCCGAAACUGCAUUCGAUACUGCCGUGCUUGAGGACUGGAGAGGAGACUGGAAUUUACGGUGUAGCGGUGAAAUGCGUAGAUAUCGUAAGGAAGACCAGUGGCGAAGGCGGGUCUCGUGGGCCAAAACUGACGCUGAGGAGCGAAAGCGUGG